rnacentral:misc_RNA from 1 species
AACACCUCAACUCUCAUGGUUCGCCGUGAUGAGCUUGGACUCUGGGGGAUUUGCUGGCCUGCGGUCAGCUCCCCUCAAAUGAAUCAGCCUCCCAGUGUUUGGUGGCAUCACGGGUGUGAUAAAUAUCUACGCUCGUGGUUGCCUGCCAGGUAACCUUUGGUGACAAAGGUUUGCUGGAGCUUACAGAUGUCUCUCCUCAGCGAGGACAGCUUUUUGGAC